CCUACGGGUGGCAGCAGUGGGGAAUAUUGCGCAAUGGGCGAAAGCCUGACGCAGCGACGCCGCGUGAGGGAUGAAGGUCUUCGGAUCGUAAACCUCUGUCAGCAGGGAAGAACGGUCACUGUGCUAAUCAGCAGUGAAUUGACGGUACCUGCAAAGGAAGCACCGGCUAACUCCGUGCCAGCAGCCGCGGUCAUACGGAGGGUGCGAGCGUUAAUCGGAAUUACUGGGCGUAAAGCGCUCGUAGGCGGUAUGUCAAGUCAAGGGUGAAAUCCCCGCGCUCAACGUGGGAACUGCCUUUGAAACUGGCAAACUGGAGUGUGUGAGAGGAUAGUGGAAUUCCAGGGGUAGGAGUGAAAGCCGUAGAUAUCGGGAGGAACAUCAGUGGCGAAGGCGACUAUCUGGCACAUAACUGACGCUGAGGAGCGAAAGCGCGGGUAGCAAACAGGAUUAGAUACCCCUGUAGUC
rnacentral:rRNA from 1 species